ensembl:snRNA U5 U5 spliceosomal RNA
AUACUCUGGUUUCUCUUCAGAUCAUAUAAAUCUUUUGCCUUUUACUAAAGAUUUCCGUGGAGAGGGGGAAAGAAAAAUAAGAAUAAGAUACCUAGGAAUAAAUCUACCUG